UUUAUUUUUAUUCCCGUUAUGAUUCCGUAUUCAGUGUCCCAUGCUUAUUACGAAUCUGUGUGCUUUCCUCUGCUUUCCGCUGUUUUAUAUUUCUUAUGGGUGCCGUAUUUAUGUUAUGUCAUCUGCUUCUGUGCUUUACUAUGUGUUUGUGUGAUAUCUUGUGUCUUGAGCCGGGGGUCUUUCGGAAACAGCCUUUCUACUUCAUCAGAGGUAGAGGUAUGGACUGCGUACAUCUUACCCCCCCAGACCCCACUAAGUGGGAAUACACUGGGUUUGUUGUUGUUGUU
rnacentral:lncRNA from 1 species